rnacentral:rRNA from 1 species
CUCUUUUCCUUGCUUCCUUCUGCAAGACAACCUUGUAUGCCCGUGCUUCGAUGUCCCACUAACGCCUCUUCCUUCUCUAGAAACAGGCCUCCGCGGCGGUCUGGAGUAGGAACGGAAUCAAAAUCUGCGGCCGCGGCAUCUCGGGCAAGGGGGAGUGCGCCGGUCGCUGGUACAGCUCACCGGACUUGUACAGGGAUCUACUGGAGUAGUUCGUUAGGUUCAGGUCCGGGUUUCGGUUGGGGCGGAAGAGAAGGCCCGGGUGGGCGGCCCGCCGCGGCAGGCGGGCCUGGUACGGGAUGGGCGGCAGACGAGGGUUCCGGCGGUGGCGGCUGAGAGACAUGCCACAGAUGAGGCUCGUGCAACGGCGGUACCGUUGGAGGGGCGGUGGCGGCCGCCACCGGCCCGGUGUCCGUGAGCUCUGCCCGUGCUUCGACGUGUAGAGGUUGGAGCUGAGGUCGCAGUGGCAGCUCCUGCAGGUCCUUGAGAAAAGUCUCUAACCACUCGAGUUUGCAAUAAGACAAUUGAUGCUAUUCCUACCCUUCAGAGUCCCUUCACGCCUUCAACAGAAACGUUCUUUUCAUCUACGAAACCUACGAUAACUCUCUAUAUUACCACAAGACGAACUACCCUUCGGUUACUUCUAUCUCGAGUAACCUUUAUUCUGGCUCGGUGUGGGUUGUCUUGGAAACUACAUGUUGCCGUGAAGAAGAUUGAUGUUACGUUACGGUUUGUCAGACGAAGUCUCUCCACCGGGCUCUCCCGGUAAAGUACCAUUACCAGCAAGACCUCCGUCACCAGUCCCGCCACGACCGUUUUCUCCUUACAAAGUUCCGUUGCAAGCAGGACCUUUGUGACAGGUCCUGCCACCACCCGCCCCUGUCCCAUCUCGGUCCCCCGUACUAGCGUCGGCUCAAGGCUGGAGACGACGCCUAGAACUACGACUUGACCUCGUCAUAGUACGUCGUCGUCACUUCGUUUUUACUCCGAGACUACAUAUAAAAUAUGAGGGAGGAAGGUAUAUAUUCACUGCAUCAAAAUCAGGUUUAAAUUUGAUUUUGGUGCAGUGAAUAAAUACUUGACUCCCUCAUAUAUGUAUCUGACAACGUAAUAAUCAAAAGACGAAAAUCAGCAGUCCAUGGUACAACUCUUUUCAACCUUCCGUAAUUAAGCUGUAAAUGUAGACGACGCGAAAAAUAUAGGGAUGAGGCUCACGACCUAUAUAACAUAAUGGAUUAAAACUUUGUACCCACAAGAGAACCCCAAAUAAACCUAUCAUUCUAAUGUUUCUUGAUCAAGAACAAUUUAAGUUAAAGAUUGACUUAGAACCUAUACAGU